GUGUCCACCAUGCUGGCCAUGCUCUGCUUGUCGUGGUCCUUCUUCCACUGGGUCAUCCAGAAGCCACGCAGCCUCACAUCCCUGAAGAUGAAGGCACUCACUGGCACUGUCACGGGUUGCUUUGCCAUUCCUCCAUAGGUCACCAUGGUCCCUUUGGGUUGCAGGUGCCGCAGCAUCUCCGUCGUGCUCCUGCCUCCAACGCAGUUCAGGGCAAGCCGGGGCUUCGGGAUGCUCUUAAAUAUCUCCUUCAUCUCCGGCUUCCUCAGCGCAUCCUCCGUCACGACGUGGUCUGCACCCAAGGCCAGCAGCCGCUCCACCAGCUGGGGAAGGUCGGGUCUGUCCCUCACCACAUUGAUGGUCCUGAUGCCCAUAGCCUUUGCGAUCUGGAUGACAGCCUGCCCCACGCCGCUGUUGGCCGCGUUCUGGAUGACGGAGUCCCCUGGCGCCAGGCUCUCGAAGUCGCUCAGCAUGCGGAACGCCGUGCAGGGGUUGACGCUGAGCGUGGCAGCGCACAGCAGUGGGACGUCGCCGGGCACCCGCAGCAGGCUGUGCUCGGGGAGCACCGCGUGUGUCCGCCACGUCCCAAGCCCGGCGUCAGCAGGGAUGAUGCAGUCCCCAGGGCUCAGUGCCACCACGCCAGGGCCGACCUCCAGCACGCGCCCAACGCCUUCACUGCCUGCCACGGCUGGCAGCGGGGCCAGGAGGGCAUAGGUGCCUUGGAUCAUGUUGAUGUCGGCCGGGUUGAUGGGCGCCGCCAGCAUCUUAAUGAGGACAUCUGAGUGUCCCAGUGCAGGCAGCUCCAGCUCCUUCAGCUGCAGGACGUCCGCCGGCUCCCCGUGCCGCUCAUAGAGCAGCCCUCGCGGGGGGGUCCCGGCGGCUGCACAGAGCGCCCGCACGGGGGGAGCCCGCAACCCACGCAGCCCACGCAGCACCCGCGCUACCGCUCGCUGCAUCCCAGCACGGCCCGGCCCGGCACAGCGCGGCUUCGGCAGCGUCACGGGGG
rnacentral:lncRNA from 1 species